AGUGAACGCUGGCGGCGUGCUUAAGACAUGCAAGUCGAACGGCAGUCUUCGGACUGUAGUGGCGCACGGGUGAGAAACGCGUCACUGACCUACCCCAAAGUCGCGGAUAACGAUUCGAAAGAAUCGCUAAUACGUGAUGUGCUGUCAGAUAGUGUUCUGCCAGUAAAGAUUGAUUGCUUUGGGAUGGGGUUGCGCUCCAUCAGCUAGUUGGUGGGGUAAAGGCCCACCAAGGCGACGACGGAUAGCCGGCCUGAGAGGGUGGCCGGGCACAGGGGCACUGAGACACGGGUCCCACUCCUACGGGAGGCAGCAGUUAGGAAUCUUCCACAAUGGGCGAAAGCCUGAUGGAGCGACGCCGCGUGAGGGAUGAAGGUCUUCGGAUCGUAAACCUCUGAAUCAGGGACGAAAGACACUUCGGUGGGAUGACGGUACCUGAGUAAUAGCACCGGCUAACUCCGUGCCAGCCGCCGCGGUAAUAC
rnacentral:rRNA from 1 species